rnacentral:lncRNA from 1 species
UCUUUCAAAGCCCAGAUUUUUACCUGCUUGCUCACUGUCUUCAUGUAGAACUUGCUCAACUACUCUUUUUCACCACUUAUUAAGAUUCUUUAAAUAUUAAAAUUCUCUAAUUUGCUCUCAGUAAUUGGGUUGUAACUCAUUGAGGAAAUUGACCCACCACUGCCUAAUCUAUUUUAAAUAUAUAUUUAUUUUUUAAUUAAAUGUGUAUGUGCAGGAGUGUAGGGGCUGUUUACAUGUGGAUUUGUGCACAUGUGAGCACAGGUCCCCUUGAAGUCCUUGAGAGUUGGUGUUUCAGGCAGUAAUGAGCCACCUCUGCGUUAAUACGUGCUCCUAACCAUAGAGCCUCUCCAGCCCAGCCUAACCUAUUUUAAGUCUUCAUCUUUUAGUAUAAUGGUUUUCAAAUCUGUAUAGAAAUUGAGUGUCAAAGUAACAAGUUAUAAUUGUAGGCUAAGUCACUUAGUACUUCACGCUGAAGUCUAGUUGACCUGACAAGAGAAAGACUAGAGGCUUCAAGGGGAAAUGUAAGAAUAGUAAUGUUUAAAAUGGAGACAGCUCUUUUCAUUUUCUCCCUCUGUGUAUGGGGAAGAUGAUGGUUUUUUUCUGACUGCAAUGACCCACGGGUCUUUUUGUGGGUAAAGCAUGUUCCUCAGUGUGUGGCUGGCCUUGCCCGUGUCAGAGCAGCAGCUAAGUGUGAGAGAGAGCUGCCCCUCUUGGCUUUCUGUUGCUGUGAUAAACAGCUAAGUGUGAGAGAGAGGCGCCCUGUUGGCUUUCUGUGGCUUUGAUAAGCAUCACGAUCAGAAACAACCUGGGGAGGAAAGCGGUUGUCUUACUUACACUUGCUGAUCACCAUCCACUGCUGGGGAGAUUCUGGGUGGAAGCUCCAGCAGGAGCAGGGUCAGAGCCAGAAGCGGUGGCACAGGCUUUAAUCCAGCACUGGGGAGGCAGAGGCAAGCUGACAGCUGAUACUAACUGUGGCAGGUAUUUUAGGAAUUUACAGGUUCCCAGCCAUGGAAGUGAGCCUGUUUUCUUCAAAAGGGUUUUUUAGCUUUGGAAAACCUUCUUGCUUGGUCUUGUUGUUUGGUCAGAGUGUGCAGUGUUGAGUGUGAGACGAUUUAGUUGUGUGAUUUUGCAUUCCACAGUGAUAUUACAUAAUUUUAAAGGAACUAGUAUUUCAUAAAUUAACGAAUAUACUUUCCUCAUGCUGUAAUAAAUAUCUAAUGAUAACCUUAUUACUUUGAAAAUGGCUAAAGCAAUCAUGAAAAUUAAAUUGUGUCCUCUGAGUCCUUAAAACUCUGUGGUUGGCUUUGGAAUUUAAAAAAAAAUCAGAUUGUGUAUUUGAGAUCUCUUUUAAUUUUGAGACAUUGAUCUUGUGAAAAGACAAAUGUCCUUUGAGGACCAGGCCUACCCCACUGUGAAUUUUAAUGGAACAAUGUGAUUACUUAGUUCUUUCUCUGGGAGUUCAUUUGAAGUGAGUGAAGGCUGUGGGCCUCCUAGGUUUUCUCCUGCUUGAAGAUGCAGUUUCUUUGUAUUUAUCCCUAAACUACUUUCGGUGGGAAAUGCUGUUGAAAGCCUCCUGUCUGUUAGUUUCAGUCACUAGCAGGUCUUUCCUGUCACUCUUUGCUGAUAGUUUCUUUCUACAGGAGUUGUAGCUUGAACAAUAGCAUAAUUAUUCACCACCUACAAUUAGCAGGUACUUUACCUAACAUCUUUAAAUUUUGUAUGGCUCUGAAUGCCGAGUAAGUGGAGUACUUCCCUAUUGUGGGCAAAGGCAAGCUCAAAAUUCACAUUAGGUUAAACAAAAAAGCAAAAUGUAUCAUGAAAGCUUGCUUGUCAAAUGCUCGGUAGGCAGUCUUUCUUCUGUACAAUCUCUUGGCUUUUGUAGAUUUUCUGUUCUUCACAGAUCGGGAGACAUUUACCAGCAGCUGCAAGCCUUAGUGGAGCUGUGUACCUGCCCUCCCUUGAUGUCAGGAGCAGGACUUUGACAGGACUACUCAUUGUGGAUAGGAAAGAGGGACACUCACAGGUAGCCUGGGCACACUCCAGUACAUGUGGCAUAAACAAGGCUGUAUAUAAUACAUGGUGGGUUAGAGGCCUUCCCCCUAGGGAAGAGAAGAAAGGAUGCUGGUAGAUACCCAUAACCAGUACUGUCACUUUACUGAUGGAAAGAAAGUCCCAUCAAGUCAUAAAGCCAAGGAACAGUAGAGCAGAACCCCAGCCUUGCCUUUUGCCUUCAUGGUCCACAUUAUCUCCCAGGAGAUUUAUGUCCUUCCCCUUUUGUGACCACGUGUGUUCCCAAUCUCCCUAAUUCUUUUAACUUUUUAUGGAGAGAGAAAUUGACCAGGUUAAAAAAAAAGUGAGGUCCCUUUUUUCUUUAUUGUUGAAGAAUGAAGUGUCUGUGUGAAGCCUAAAUUUGAUGGGACAGCAACCAAGCUACUUGGGAGGGAUCGCUGCCCUCCUACUUCCCUGCUUGCCUUAUUGCCAGCCUCACAUCACCUCUCGGCCUGAUUCUGGCAAACGUGUGGCUGUGAGCAGCGUGUCUGUUGAGUAGACGCAGGAGCACCUCGGAAGCACAUCACUCUUCUUUUACAGUUCCUGUGGGAAGAUCGUAGUCACAGCUCUGAUUGAGAAUGUGAUCAGUUUUCUCUCCUUACACCUCUCAAAGACUCCUUUCUCUUUCUAAGUUGACUUUGCCUGGUAUGCUGCAUAUGAAUAAACAUUUUUUAUAUUUAAUGAGACUAAAAGUAAAGGCUAAAAUAGGUCUUUUACUCAUGGACUGAUUUAAUUCAUGAUUUGGUGCUCUCAUUAGUGAGUAGUUGAAAGCCCGCUGUGUGAGAGGAGGGUAGGUGAAGAGGUAGGAAGUCUUGCUGCAGCGCUGUACGCUGCUGACCCUCAGUGGCUUCUCCCCCACUUUCCCACUGAGGGGGCAGCCUUGAGUUGUUAGUUUAUUUUGUAUUGGAUACAUCUAUAGGACAAUAGGUCCUAUACUAAACAUAACCAGCAGUGAACAAAAGGUGUGCCUGCUUUUAUAUUGUCAAAUUAUUAUAAUAUUUAAAAGAUUAUAUACUUUAUUUUAGUAAAAUUUUUGUGAAAGUUUUUAUUUCAGAGGUACUAUUUUUUUUUUAAUACUUGGCAACUUUAACACAGAGUUUAUGCUACUAGAGAGAUUUACUGCACCCAGGAAAGCAUUUAAUGGGGGAAUAUAGCUAUAAAGAAUAAGACUUUUUAUGUGUGAUGGUAUAAUUGAAGAAUGAAAAUAAUAUAUGUAAUAUUAUUAUCAUGUCAUUUAAAAUUGCUAUAUAUUUUGUCAUUUAGCUUGGAAUGCUGUGUGUGUGUGUAUGUGUGUGUGAGAGAGAGAGAGAGAGAAGGAAAGAGAGGGAUAUGGGAGAGCCUGUGUUUUACAAAAAUCAAAAAACAAAAAUCAGAAAAUGAAAAACAUUAUGC